CCCUGUUCUUACUGCAGCAAUGUACAUUUACAAGAGAGACUUGCAGUCACUCUGAGAGUCCUGGCAUGCGGUUGCCCUCGAACUCGUCCACGCUUCCUGUUUCCACUUUGUUGCACACCGCUGAAAAAAAUAGAGUGGUGCACGACCUCUGGUCGAGCACUUUAAAUCCUGGCGCACCAGCGAGAUCUACGUUAUUUUGACAUCACAUUGUCGCGCGACAGGUCGGGAACUGCGACUGUAAA